CAUCCAUAUUGAUAUUGAAACACCAGUUCUCAUAUGAUCACUGAAGUUAAGCAACAUUGAUCACUUCCUUGAUGGGUGACCACUUGGGAACUCCAGGAGUUGUAAG